UACGGAGGGGCUAGCGUUGUUCGGAAUUACUGGGCGUAAAGCGCACGUAGGCGGACUGUUAAGUCGGGGGUGAAAUCCUGGGGCUCAACCUCAGAAUUGCCUCCGAUACUGGCAGUCUCGAGUGCGGGAGAGGUGAGUGGAAUUCCCGAGUGAUAGAGGUGAAAUUCGUAGAUAUUGGGAAGAACACCAGUGGCGAAAGGCGGCUCACUGGGCC
rnacentral:rRNA from 1 species